AUUCAAGUAUUUAACUUCGUGCUCCUUGUAUAGUCUUCAUGAACCACACUGUCAUUUUGGCAGGGAUUCGAGCCGUCAUCGGAGAGUCGGUAAUCAUUAGAAUAUAUUCCCUGGAUAUCCUCGUUGGCUCUGAUAUGACGCAGUGAUAUCUAUUACACGGUUUGAUUUCACGAAAACAGGGUCGAGGCACAAUCAGGGGCCCCCUCGAUCGGUACUCGACGGACGUGCGGUGGAAGCGAGUGUUUUCGAACGAUGUAGACAAACCACAAAUAACACAAUUGGCACUUGCUGCAUGGAUGGGAAACUCUUGCUGCCUGAGAUAACCUCCGUCUUUUGUUAUUGCAGCUAUCGGAGAUAAUUCAGCCUUCGUUCUAAGUCGAGUAUAUUUCAAUCCAGUAAUGGCACUGCGCGAUUUGGUCGAGGGAGACUGCGGAGGGCCGAGUUCGGUUGCUCGUCUCGCCUCGCAUUAUGUUCAGGACCAUGGAUUUGUCGAGGAAGGCAUUGGCCGGCCAUUUAUGCCAUCCACUUCUUUCGAGGCGUCUGAUUCUGACCACUUGGUUAAGCAGUUUUUAGAGGAAACAGUCACUCAUCCUCAAACAUUUAGAAUGGACAGUUUACUGCAGGAAAUGCGACAGAUUGAUCACAAUAUUCAUGCGCCUGUUCCUGCCCCUGGUGUGAUUAAGGAAUUAACUGGCCAAGACACAGCGUGGGCUAACCAGUAUCUCGAAUCUGGUCGUCAUUUUGAUGAACAGCAUGCUGAUGCUAUAUGGAAUACACCCGCUGAAGCUAUCAUCCCACACUCUGAAACGUUUGAAUUAGGAUUAGGUCCCAAGUGGGCUGAAGAAUACCUGGAACAUAGUGUGGAUAAUGUAGAGAAGGACGUUAAUCAGAAUGGGUUUGUUGUCAAAUCAACGGAAGCUUUGGAUAAUGAUGACCCAAAUUUUGCUUAUUCAAAGUUCAUGAAAUUCAUGCGACAAGAAGGCGAGAUUCCCAUUGAUCCUGGUCAGACUUCGCUGCCAAAUCUAGAGAAGUUGGAUGAUAAAUGGACAGAGGAAUUUUCUUCCAUGAAUAUUAGUGCUUCCGAACGCUCUGGAGAUGUUCAAGACGAACAUCCAGUUUUGAGCAAGAUCGAUGAAGAGCUAGCAGCUGCAGGGACAUGGGCUGAAGAAUUUUCCACAGAGAACUCUGAAACUCAAGAUGCAGAUGAUUACAAAUCGAAUUUUUGGACAAGGUUGCAAGAUGAGUGGGAGAAAAUAUCAGCCUCUGAUGAAGUAAGCACUUCACACCCUUGGUUAUCGGAAUACGAAAAGUACUACGAUCCUUUCCAGGAAUACACCUUCACUGAAGAAAAUGUAAUGAAGGAAAUACCAAAUGCGUUGGAAGAGGGUAAGAAAAGGCUUGAGGCCGGUGAUUUGCCCAGUGCGGUGCUUUGUUUCGAAGCUGCGGUUCAACAGGAAAAAGACAAUUCAGAAGCGUGGCUUUUGCUGGGAAAAACACAAGCCGAGAAUGAGCAGGAUCCAUUAGCCAUAUCCGCGUUGAAACACUGUUUAUCUUUAGACCCAACAAACUCUGUUGCCAUGAUGACACUUGCUGUUUCAUACACGAAUGAAUCAUACCAAAAUCAAGCCUGCAUUACGUUGAAAGAAUGGCUUAUGAAGAAUGAAAAAUACAAAAAUUUAACCUUUUUAAAUAAAGGCUCCGUGACGAAUCAAAGAUCAAAAGUUUCUACGAUUUUAUCAGAGGACUCACACGAGGAAGUCAAACAGCUCUUCAUUGAAGCUGCUAGAAUGAAUCCCACGAAUGAAAUAGAUGCGGAUGUCCAAUGCGGUCUUGGUGUUUUGUUCAACAUAUCUAAUGAAUUUGACAAAGCCGUGGAUUGUUUCAAAGCCGCGUUACACGUCAAGCCUGACAUUAUGGAACAGAUUGGGCGCUACUUUAGCCAAUGGACAAAGAUCUGAGGAAGCCAUUGAAGCUUAUCAUAACGCGUUACGGAUAUCCCCGGGAUUUAUAAGGGCGCGAUACAAUCUUGGCAUAUCGUGCAUCAACUUGUCAGCUUACAAAGAAGCCGGCGAGCAUUUGCUAACAGCUUUGAAUCAGCAAGCGCUGGGUCGAGAUGCUCAAGGUCAAAGGAGCCAUCCAGGUACCAUGUCCGAUUCGAUUUGGUCAACACUUCGAUUGGUUGUGUCACUAAUGCACAAAUAU
rnacentral:misc_RNA from 1 species